UGCAGAAUCCCGCGAACCAUCGAGUCUUUGAACGCAAGUUGCGCCCGAGGCCACUUGGCCGAGGGCACGCCUGCCUGGGCGUCACGCCAAACACGCUCCCACCCCUCAUCGGGUUGUGGGAUGCGGCAUGUGGCUCCCCGUCUUGCAAGGGGCGGUGGGCCGAAGAUGCGGCUGCCGGCGUAUCGUGCCGGACACAGCGCGUGGUGGGCGAACUCGCUUUACUUACCGCAGUGCAUCCGGCCCAUAGCCGACGUGAUGGCCUUAAGGACCCUAUGAACGGAGCGCAUGACGCUCCGACCGCGACCCCAGGUCAGGCGGGACUACCCGCUGAAUUUAAGCAUAUAAAUAAGCGGAGGAGAAGAAACUUACAAGGAUUCCCCUAGUAACGGCGAGCGAACCGGGAUCAGCCCAGCUUGAGAAUCGGGCGGCCGUGCCGUCCGA
rnacentral:rRNA from 3 species